AUUCACGUCAUUCUAAACCGAGAAACGUUUGUGUCGUGGUUCAUCGAGGCAUUAAACGGCCUCUUCAGCAGCUGCGACCGCAGGGACGAGACCCGCUGACCGACCGCACCGACAGACCGCAGGAGAUUGAGUUCACGGCUGCCUGCCCAUUAGUCAGCAGAUCCUCAGUAGACGCUGCAGGUGUGGCGGCGGUCGCAGACACACAUGUGCGGUCAGGAGAAAACGCUCUCAUCUGACACGUUCUCAUCCAGAGGAGAUCAGAGAGACACAGUCAGACGCUUCAUGCUGUACAGAGAGAAUCAGCUGCCGUCUGUGAUUUCAGAGAGUCUGGUACAGACAGACAGAGGGAUGGUUUGUGUGUUUCAGACUGAUGAUGUUCUUCACUGUUACUCCAAGCAAACGCUUUUCAUCAUACG